GCAUCCAAUCCCAUUACAGAUGGUUGUAAGCCACCAUGUGGUUGCUGGGAAUUGAACUCAAGACCUCUGGAAAAGCAACCAGUGCUCUUAACUACUGAGCAUCUCUCCAGUCCCUUAAGCAAGAAUUUUAAAGAGAUGUUCCAGGCAUUCAGAAGUAAAGAAUAGCAUAUGUGUAAUAAAUUAUUUUCAUCAGAUGCAGUCUCCAUCAGAAUUAUUGUUUAAAAUAAAAAUCUAUGUAUACUUUACAUUUUUCCAUAAUAGCUAUUACCAUGAUCUCAACUCCAACUAGAAAAUCAUCUUCCAGAAGCCAAGUCUUCUGUCAUCUUCAUUAUACCCACAUGGCUUACUACUUAAUAGAUUUAUUUUUGAUUAUAUUUAUUUGUAUAAAGAAAGCUCCCCAUUAAAGGCUAGGUUUACCACAAAUGAAGUUUUAGAUAUGUAGAUGAUCCUUUGUACAAUAGUGUAUUUUUAAGGUCAUACAUGAAACAUAAUUACUUUUUGACAUACCUUAACAAUGACAUACUUUUGCAAAUCAAAACUGCCAGUGGAUGUGUACUUAGGAUUCACUUAUUUGCAUUUCCUCACUACAUUUUGAUUUUAUUUGAGCCAAUAUAAGUUAUUCUACAUGUAAUACAUAUUAAUCAUCUUUACUUACAUGGUAGUAUAACUUGCCUUUGUAUAUGUUUUUCUUAAAGAUUUGAAUAUAACUUUUCACUAUUUAUUGUGGAAACAUAAGAGAGUACAGUGAUUUCUUCAAGUAUCCAUUGCUUGCUUAUAGCAAUCAUGGAAUUGUAUUUUUUAUCAAUUAUUAUAAUAUACCUGCCAUUUUAUUGUUUACAAUAUGUAUUCAAUACUAAAAAAUCUAAGUAUUUUUUAAAAACUUAAAAAUUUUGUUUUAAAACUUUAAAAAAUCAUACCUUUUUAUUACAGAAAAAUUAAUAAUGGUUCUUUAACAUCAAAAGCAUGCAGUGUACAGUAUAUUUAUUGAUAAAUAUGUGCCAUCAUCUGUUUCAUAGUCCUCUGUAUUCUUCUUGGGGUUGUGCCAUUUAUGGUGAUUCUUGCUGUAGCCAUGUUGUUCUCCCUGUGUCUUAACAAUGUCAUUGGCAUGGUGACAUCAAAAGCUACUGCAAUGCCCCUUUGGGUAUGUGGUGGGGAGUGGUCAUCUAGUAUCUCUCUAGUAGGUUGGUAGCUGACUUCUGACCCAUCUGCUUUCUUUGUGAUUAUUAGGGGUUACAACAAAGAUUAGCAGAUUGGAGCUCCUUCAAAAGGUUAUAAUAGCUCCUGGUUCACUUCUGGUACCCCUCAAGGCACUAUGGCUCUGCCCUUCAUCCUUACCACUCUGGACAACCUUUUGACUAAAUGCACCUCCCAUGAGGGAUAGGGUAAGAUGAGGAUGCUGCUACAGAGUUGCAAUCCUUAAGAUAUUCUUCAACAGAAGGCCAAGGGGAAGAGUCUGAGGCAGUUCCUUUUCUGGCAUGCUUGUGUGGGCCCAAUGGAUAGAUUACAACAUUUGCACUACACAAGGUUCUGUAAUACCAUUUUUGAUCAGAAAAUGCCUACCUGUGUAGGCCUAUUACUGUGUGAUCAUUCUUAUAACAUGCUAACAAGACUCCUCCAAAUGACCCUUUGUUUGCCAUGACCCCUUACCACUCUAGACACUGGUGAGCAAUUUUGAGAUUUUUUUACUCCCCCAUAUGGCUCAUCAUUUGGGCCAGAGCCCUUGCUGCUGGAUCUGGGAAGCUGUCUCAUAGAUUGUGACAGACUAGACAUAAUUCAAAUGGAUUCAGCAGACAAUGAUCUAUGUAAUUCUAGUUACUGUAGUUUUAAGGUUUGUGCUAUGGUUUUUGAAGGUAGAUGUCUAUAGUUAAUUAUUAAGAAUGUCCUCAUUCUUUUUUCAUAUUUGUCAGAAAGAUGUACACAACAAAGGGUUACGCUUUUAUUUUAAACCUGUACUUUUUAGUUUGGGAAAAUAUCACAAAACUCUUCCUGAAACAGUGAUAUACAAGUGAAUUUGAAAUUUUUUUUGUACAAUCAGUGUUUCAUCUGAGAGGGAAGUUUUUCUCCAUCCAUCCCUGCAGGGAAAUGAACCUGCUUCCUAAAUUAGCAGUUUCCUUUCUUGUUGUCAUGAGAACUUGACUUUGUGAAAUAGAGCCUUUAUUUAAAAUAAGCUCUUUGUUCAGUUAAUCAGAUUACUGUGAACUGUUGGAGAAAACUUUUAGUUCUGGACCUGAUUUCCCAGAACCUAUACAGUGUUGCUUAGACCCUGUCCUGCUUUUAUUCUUCUUAGGAGCUGGAGAAUUUGAAGAAAAGCCAGCCUGCCUGCCUUCUUUUCCUUUGUUUUUCCUUCCUCCUACUCCUUUCUAUUCCCAGUACCUCUUUUCACAUUUUUGAUAUAUCAAAACUAUCUCCUUUUCCAAAUAAUAAAAUGUUAAGAAAUGAUGUGAUUA